rnacentral:rRNA from 1 species
UACGUAGGGCGCAAGCGUUGUCCGGAAUUAUUGGGCGUAAAGAGCUCGUAGGCGGUUUGUCGCGUCUGCUGUGAAAACCUAAGGCUCAACCUUGGGCUUGCAGUGGGUACGGGCAGACUAGAGUGCGGUAGGGGAGACUGGAAUUCCUGGUGUAGCGGUGGAAUGCGCAGAUAUCAGGAGGAACACCGGUGGCGAAGGCGGGUCUCUGGGCCGUAACUGACGCUGAGGAGCGAAAGCAUGGGGAGCGAACAGG